GCUUGUCUCAAAGAUUAAGCCAUGCACGUGUCAGUAUAAGCUUUUAUACGGUGAAACUGCGAAUGGCUCAUUAAAUCAGUUAUAGUUUAUUUGAUGGUUCCUUUACUUGGAUAACCCGGGUAAUUCUCUGGCUAACAAAUGCAGAAGACCCUUUACUGGGUUGUAUUUAUUAGAUCUUUACUAACUCUGUUGGUGAAUCACAAUAAGAUAACAGAUCGCAUCGAGGUAACUCGGCGACGGAUCAUUCAAGUUUCUGCCCUAUCAACUUUCGAUGGUACGGUAUUGGCCUACCAUGGUGACCACGGGUAACGGGGGAUUAGGGUUCGAUUCCGGAGAGGGCGCCUGAGAAAUGGCGACCACUUCUAAGGAAGGCAGCAGG
rnacentral:rRNA from 1 species